AGCGCCAGAACAUCACUUCAAACGGGCAGCGGAAUGCAGAACUGGGGAUCAGUUGGGACCUUCAAAGGAGCAGUGCAGCAUUAACGCCUGCGAUUAACACUGUAAUUUCUUUAACGUGUUAAUCGUGUCCUGCAUUAAUCACAGGUGUUAAUGCAGAUAAAUUGACAGCCCUAGUUUGAAUAUAUUCAUAUUAACCCCCUGGAUCAUAUCAAUUGAUAUGACAGCAAACAUUUAAAAUCUGCAAAAUCUGAUUCUUCAAAGUCUGUGCAGCACAGGAAUCAUGCAGCACCUAACAGGAUCAGGCCCAGAAAGUUUCCUCAAAACAAAAACAAAAAAAGUCCUGCAUUAGUGAAAGCGACAUAGCCUGUUCCUCAUGGAAGCUGCACUAGAUUGAUUACAGGUUUGUAUGUAAUUUGUGGUGACUGUUUUCUUUUCCAUAAUAAGGCCAAAUCUUUUCCAACUUAGUUUGCUGCAAAAAUAGUUCUUCAGUUACCAUUUACUUAUAUAAAACCCUAUUUUGUGUAAUUCAUCUUGCCAGAUUAUUGUAAAAUACAUGCUCUUGAGAGUGCUUGUGAGGGAGGAUAGAUACUGAAUUCUUGUAACAAAGGCUUUUCUCUGGUGGUUUAUAUGGAGCACCACAUAAUCCUGCUAUUAAAUAUAUUUUUAAAAAGGAAAACUUAAUUAUUACCCCUAACAAAUGUUCUUCUUUGAGAGAUUGUCCACAGAGAUUUAGAAGAGCAUGGAGUGAAUGUAUACUAAGCUUGGUAUCUGUGGGGACAACAUAUCUUGAAGAACCACAGUUACUGUAAGAAACACAAUGAUCUCUACAAACAUUCAUUAAGUUAACAUGCACAGCAGCCCCGGGAGGAAGGUGUUAUCAUCCCAUUUUGCAAAAGGGAAAACUGAAGUAGAAGGAACCAGAACAUAGAAGAAUUCAAGAGAGGAGACUGGCUCAGAUUUAAGAGAAAAACAAAAGAUUGUAACGUCCAGUGGGGUGAGAACAUUGUUUGUUCUAAAUACUGACUAAUGUAUGUGCUUAUAUUUUCUUUUUUUUUAGUAACGUCUCUGAAUUUUUGCCUAUUACUUAUAUACACUUAAAAGCUAUCUUUUCUAAUCAAUAAACUUGAUUUACUGCUUACUUGCUUUGCCAGUGAGUUGGCCUGCAGUGAUUGGUAAAUACGUUCAGGUUUACAAAGGCUAGUGUAUGUCCAUUUUUCAUUGAUGAAGUAUUGAAUCUAAUAAACUUGCAGUAUUCAGAGGAACUUGAGCAGUGCAAGACAUUAUAUUCCUGAGGUACAAAGCUGGGAGUUGGGGGAUUUGGCUGAUGCUUUUCUCUGUG